GGAACGGGAGAGGCAGAGGGAAAGAGGGAUAAGGAGAGAAAGGAAGGUUCAAACGGAACUCAAGUGACUGGAGUGUAAUGUGGUCCAUCCACAUCGGGAACCCGCAGCACACAGUGAGACGGUGGCCGUCUGCAAUCCAAGGAGAGAACUCACAGACACUGAUCAUGCUGGCUCCUGAUCUUGGACUUCCAGUCUCCAGAAUGAUGAGGAAACAAAGAAGAGAACCACGACUUUGAUCCAGGCAGCUCUCUUGGACUACAAAUCCGUAAUUCUAUCAUGCUAGUUGUUUUUAUCUUUGAAGAAAUGCUUCAAUUAAACCUUAAUUUCUAAUAAGAUUAAUUUUUAUGAUGAUUUCUAACAAUGAUGGUCAUCUUCCU